GAUGAACGCUGGCGGCGUGCCUAAUACAUGCAAGUCGAGCGAACGGACGAGAAUCUUGCUUCUCUGAUGUUUGCGGCUGACGUGUGAGUAACACGUGUAUAACCUACCUAUAUGACUUUUAUAACUUCGUGAAACCUUAUCUAAUACCGGAUAAUAUUUUUAACCGCAUGGUUCAUUAGUUUAUGACGUUCUUUCUGUCUCUUCUAGAUUUAUCCGCGCUGCAUUAGCUAGUUGGUAAGGUAACGGCUUACCAAGGCAACGAUGCAUAGCCGACAUGAGAGGGUGAUCGGACACACUGGAACUGAGAAACGGACCAGAGUACUACGGGAGGGAGCAGAAGGGAAUGUUACGCAAUGGGCGAAAGCAUGACGGAGCAACGCCGAGUGAGAGAUGAAGGAGUAAGGAUCGUAAAAAACUGUUAUGAGGGAAGAAAAAAAGUGUAAGUAAAUGUGAAGAGAGUGACGGUAACAAAACAGAAAGCAACGGCUAACUACGUG
rnacentral:rRNA from 1 species